rnacentral:lncRNA from 1 species
CUUCAAGUAUCAUCCACUAUGCAGCCACCUUGCUGGACAAAGGGUGCCCUCUGAGAUCCUGAGAAAAGGCCACAAUGACUUCUGGCUGGCAACUCCAUCAUGCCUUUUAUUCAAAGGCUGCAGUGGCUAAUACAAAGAGAGGCCAGCAGGGUAGUAAACAAUCCCUAAAUUGAGAGCCUGGGAACUCAGAGAGCCUGACCAGCAUCUUGCCCUAAGCAGUCCUGCCCUGUGCUCCAACCUAAUGGGAUCUCUGAAUUCUCCUUGGGCUUUCCAGGCAGCAGAGGAACUUGGCAGGCAGUCUGUAGGGACCAAGAGUAAUUUGAUGAGAG